rnacentral:rRNA from 1 species
GGUGUCGGGGGUCGAAAUCUCGGUGCCGCAGUUAACACAAUUAAGUAUUCCGCCUGGGGAGUACGGUCGCAAGACUGAAACUCAAAGGAAUUGACGGGGACCCGCACAAGCAGCGGAGCAUGUGGUUUAAUUCAAAGCAACGCGAAGAACCUUACCAAAUCUUGACAUCCUUUUGACCAUCAUUUAAUCAUGAUCUCUCUUCGGAGCAGAAGUGACAGGUGGUGCAUGGUUGUCGUCAGCUCGUGUCGUGAGAUGUUGGGUUAAGUCCCGCAACGAGCGCAACCCUUGUCUUUAGUUGUCAUCAGGUAAUGCUGGACCCUCUAAAGAGACUGCCGGUGAUAAACCGGAGGAAGGUGGGGAUGACGUCAAAUCAUCAUGCCCCUUAUGAUUUGGGCUACACACGUGCUACAAUGGUCGGUACAACAGGCAGCGAAAGGGUAACCUGGAGCGAAUCCUCUAAAGCCGAUCUCAGUUCGGAUUGUGGGCUGCAACUCGCCCACAUGAAGUUGGAGUUGCUAGUAAUCGUGAAUCAGAAUGUCGCGGUGAAUGCAUUCCCGGGUCUUGUACACACCGCCCGUCACACCAUGGAAGUUGGGGGCGCCCGAAGCCAGUGAUCCAACCGCAAGGAGGAAGCUGUCGAAGGUGAAACCAAUGACUAGGGUGAAGUCGUAACAAGGUAACCG